GCCCGGGUGGUGGAAUUGGUAGACACAAGGGAUUUAAAAUCCCUCGUUCGUAAGGACGUGCCGGUUCAAGUCCGGCCCCGGGCACCA
rnacentral:tRNA from 18 species